AGUUCUUUCCGGCUGGAAUGGGGAAUUUGUGAGGUAGGCCGGAAGUGGUGUUGCGGAGGGAACUGUGGGGAGAGCAGAGGGGCAGCUCUGCUGGAGAGACCUGAGGCUUGCAUCGCUGGGCCCGGCCGGGUCGCUGCGGCUGGGCUGGAGGUCAAGGAUGCAUUCCAGGAAAGUUCUAUAAAAAUAUACCAUCAACUCCAACCUGAUAUUUGACCUAGCCAUGGAAAACCUCAUUGGCUCCUCACUGGAUCAGACCAUAAAAAUGAUCCAGGAAUGAAAAUCUAAGAUAAAUUCCCACCACUUCAAGAUGUUCUUAUACAAGUCAACAGUCUAGCAGAUCAGCCAGUCUCUUUCAUCAUCAAGCAGACAUACUCAAGGUACCAACACAGCAAAGGCACAAAAUGUCUCUAUAUCAGUAUUUUUCAUGGUAUAUGUGAGACCCAUUAGUGAGGCAUGAAAUCAAUUCUGUGAGUCACAAUGAACAUUUUUCUAAAAAACAAAAUAAAAUGUAAAAUACCAAA
rnacentral:sRNA from 1 species